rnacentral:rRNA from 1 species
UUGUAAGAACGAACAAUGAAUAACUCAUAUAAAGUUCUAGGCAUAAAAGGAAUAAUGACUAAUUUUUUGUCUAUAAGUAUUGACCAAAUUACGUGCCAGCCGUCGCGGUAAUACGUAAAAUACAAGUGUUAUUCAUCUUUAAUGGGUUUAAAGGGUACCUAGACAGAAAAUAAAGCCAUAAUAGGGACUAAUUUUCUAGAGUUUUAUAUAAGAAAGAAGAAUUGUUAGAGGAGAGAUGAAAUGCGUUAAUACUAACAAGACUGGUAACAGCGAAGGCAUUUUUCUAUGUAAAAACUGACGUUGAGGGACGAAGCCUAGGGGAACGAUAAGGAUUAGAUACCCUAAUAGUCCUAGGAGAAAAUUAUGAAUGCCAUAGGCAAGAAUUUUUUUGCCUAUAAAUGAAAGUGCAAGCAUUUCACCUUACAAGUAAAGCGGCAACGCCGAAACUGAAAUCAUUAGACCGUUACUGAAAACAGUAGUGAAGUAUGUUAUUUAAUUCGAUGGUCCGCGAAUAACCUUACCACAAUUUGAAUAUUAUUAAAUUAUUACAAGUGCUGCACGGCUGUCUUCAGCUUAUGUCGUGAGAUUCUGGUUAGAUCCUUUAAUAAGCGAAAACCCUUACUUUAUUUAAAUAAAUUUAUCUAUAAAGUACUUUGCCAAUUUAACAAAAAAAUUAGUAAGGUAAAAGGGAUUAAGACAAGUCAUCAUGGCCUUAAUAUUGUGGGCUAUAGGACGUGCCACAUUUGCCUUUACAAAGGGAUGCGAUAUUGUGAAA